rnacentral:rRNA from 1 species
UAAUAAGCUAUUAAGGGCUAAUGGUGGAUGCCUAGACUGUAAGAGGCGAUGAAAGACGUAUUAGGCUGCGAUAAGCCUCGGGGAGCUGCCAAAGAGCUUUGAUCCGGGGAUUUCUGAAUGGGGCAACCCAAUAUAAUGAGAAUUAUAUUACCCUACGGGGAGCGAACCUAGUGAAGUGAAACAUCUCAGUAGCUAGAGGAAGAGAAAUCAAACGAGAUUCCCAAAGUAGCGGCGAGCGAAAUGGGAUUAGGACAAACCCAAUGCUUGCAUUGGGGGUUGUAGGACCAUGAUAUGAGACUAAAGAGGAUAGAUGAAAUACUUGGAAAAGUGUAGCAUAGAAGGUGAAACUCCUGUAAUUAAAAUUCUCAAUAGCUCUAAUGGUAUCCUGAGUAGGUCGGAACACGUGAUAUUUUGACUGAAGCCGGGGGGACCACCCUCCAAUCCUAAAUACUACUUACAGAUCGAUAGUGAACAAGUACCGUGAGGGAAAGGUGAAAAGUACUCCAGCGAGGAGAGUGAAAUAGAACCUGAAACCAUUAGCUUACAAUCAUUCAGAGCCCUAUGAUUUAUCAGGGUGAUGGACUGCCUUUUGCAUAAUGAGCCUGCGAGUUGUGGUGUCUGGCAAGGUUAAGUCAAGUACGAAGCCGUAGCGAAAGCGAGUCUUAAUAGGGCGAAUUAGUCAGAUGCUGCAGACCCGAAACGAAGUGAUCUAUCCAUGAGCAGGUUGAAGCUGGUGUAAGAGCCAGUGGAGGACCGAACCCGCAGGCGUUGAAAAGUCUUGGGAUGACUUGUGGAUAGGGGUGAAAGGCCAAUCAAACUUCGUGAUAGCUGGUUCUCUCCGAAAUAUAUUUAGGUAUAGCCUUGUGUUGUAGCAUAUGGGGGUAGAGCACUGAAUGGGCUAGGGCUGCUUACCGCGGUACCAAACCCUAUCAAACUAUGAAUACUAUAUGUGGAAUCACAGGAGUCAGGCGGUGGGUGAUAAAAUCAAUCGUCGAGAGGGGAACAACCCAGACUAACAGCUAAGGUCCCUAAGUUACAUCUAAGUGGAAAACGAUGUGGAGUUACUGUGACAACCAGGAGGUUGGCUUAGAAGCAGCCAUCCUUUAAAGAAAGCGUAACAGCUCACUGGUCUAGUGAUUCUGCGCGGAAAAUAUAACGGGGCUAAGAUGUACACCGAAGCUUUAGAUUCAAUUUUUAAUUGAGUGGUAGGAGAGCGUUCUAUUCAGCGUAGAAGAUGUACCGGUAAGGAGCGUUGGAGCGGAUAGAAGUGAGCAUGCAGGCAUGAGUAGCGAUAAUUGAGGUGAGAAUCCUCAACGCCGAAAACCCAAGGUUUCCUACGCGAUGCUCGUCAUCGUAGGGUUAGUCGGGACCUAAGUCGAGUCCGAAAGGGGUAGACGAUGGCAAAUUGAUUAAUAUUUCAAUACCAACAUAUAAGCGCGAUGUGGGGACGCAUAGAGUUAAUCGAGGUCACUGAUGGAAUAGUGGCUCGAAGGACGUAGGCUGUUAAGUAGGCAAAUCCGCUUAACAUUAGGCCGAGAUCUUACAGGCUCUUGACACUCUUCGGAGGAGAUGGAGAAUCGAUGAUACUGUCGUGCCAAGAAAAGCCACUAAGUUUAUUAUAUGUUGCCCGUACCGUAAACCGACACAGGUGGGUGGGAUGAGUAUUCUAAGGCGCGUGGAAGAACCCUGGUUAAGGAACUCUGCAAACUAGCACCGUAUCUUCGGUAUAAGGUGUGCCUACUUUUGUAUAUGAACUUGCUUCAAAAAGCGAAAGAGGUUGCAACAAAGAGUCCCUCCCGACUGUUUACCAAAAACACAGCACUUUGCUAACACGUAAGUGGAUGUAUAAGGUGUGACGCCUGCCCGGU